rnacentral:rRNA from 1 species
UACGGAGGAUGCGAGCGUUAUCCGGAUUUAUUGGGUUUAAAGGGUGCGUAAGCGGAUCGUUAAGUCAGUGGUCAAAUUGAGGGGCUCAACCCCUUCCCGCCAUUGAAACUGGCGAUCUUGAGUGGAAGAGAAGUAUGCGGAAUGCGUGGUGUAGCGGUGAAAUGCAUAGAUAUCACGCAGAACCCCGAUUGCGAAGGCAGCAUGCCGGCUUCCUACUGACGCUGAAGCACGAAAGCGUGGGGAUCGAACAGG